rnacentral:lncRNA from 1 species
UAAUAGCAACGCCCAAUAGUUUAUAUUACUUGGGCAACGAAGAUGUUGAGCUCUUGGUAGCUCUGUCGAUGGCGUCUCUUUCUUUCACUCACUUUCUCCUCUUACCCAGGUUUUCUCUCUCUCUCUCUCUCUCUCUCUCUGUUGAUAACCCAGUCUUUUAAUUCAAAACCAUGUGGUUCCUUUGCUCCUUAAUUCAAAUGGAAAUCCCAAAUGAGCGGAAAUGGAAAAAUGAGGAAUCUUUUCUGGGUUUGGAUAAUUCUAGAGUUUUCUUCAUGGAUUUUAAGAUCAAAGCAAUUAUUAAUUGCACUUCCUUCAGCUCAAUUACCAAAUGAAUCGUAAUGGUUGUGAAUGUCAAGCAGUUGAUUAUCCUCAGAAGAUCAAGGACUUGACGAAGCAAUACUGGGCUGUUCCUGUGGCCGUUGUUGGCAUCUCUGUGGUUGUUGGCUUCUUCUACUUGCGCAAGAAGUGAUUCAAUACAAUUUUGCCCAUUUGUUACCACUCAAAAGGAAAGUCCUCACAAUUUUGAAUAAGUGAGACAAUAGCCGCUGAGGAAACUAGGCCAUUGUUGUUCACAAGUAUUGGGGAGAGAAUAUGCAUAUUAUUUUGAUUGAGAGAUUUAUGUACGGAUUUCAAAUAUGACAUUUACAAAUUUUUAGUAGAUGUAUGUCAUUGAAAUUGGUGGGAAUCAAUG